rnacentral:lncRNA from 1 species
AUGCUGGAUGGACCCAGAGUGGGAAGACUCCUGAGAGAGGGACAGCCAAGUUUGACACAAAUACCAACAAUCCCAGGGGACAUCUAUGGGUCUAACAGGUCUGGUCUUGAGCCCAUUGGACUUACUGGAGUUAAACAAAAAGCUGGGAGAUGUUCCUGCCAAAGCUGCCAAGGGUCUGAUGGAAGGGGGCCUGGCCCGGGAAGGCUCCCCGAAGUUGCUCUGAGCGAUCCUGGAUGCUGCAUGGCUUCAGUCCCUGAGGCCUCCCUGGCCACUAAGAGGAAACAAACCACUGCCAGAGCACAGCCCCACCCUGCAGCUUCCAGAACCCUUGGCUCCGGGACUUUCUCCGGCUCUCCUCUUUGCAUUGUCAAAACGGAACAGACUGCGCAGAAGGAACGCGUUUGGUGCUGA